rnacentral:rRNA from 1 species
UAAUGMAKGCCCGCUCCCGGUAAAACGGGACGGCCCGCCAGAGGACCCCUAAACUCUGUUUCUAUAUGUAACUUCUGAGUAAAACCAUAAAUAAAUCAAAACUUUCAACAACGGAUCUCUUGGUUCUGGCAUCGAUGAAGAACGCAGCAAAAUGCGAUAAGUAAUGUGAAUUGCAGAAUUCAGUGAAUCAUCGAAUCUUUGAACGCACAUUGCGCCCGCCAGUAUUCUGGCGGGCAUGCCUGUUCGAGCGUCAUUUCAACCCUCAAGCACAGCUUGGUGUUGGGACUCGCGUUAAUUCGCGUUCCUCAAAUUGAUUGGCGGUCACGUCGAGCUUCCAUAGCGUAGUAGUAAAACCCUCGUUACUGGUAAUCGUCGCGGCCACGCCGUUAAACCCCAACUUCUGAAUGUUGACCUCGGAUCAGGUAGGAAUACCCGCUGAACUUAAGCAUAUCAAUAAGCGGAGGAAA